rnacentral:rRNA from 1 species
GAUGAACGCUGGCGGCGUGCCUAAUACAUGCAAGUCGAGCGAACGGACGAGAAGCUUGCUUCUCUGAUGUUAGCGGCGGACGGGUGAGUAACACGUGGAUAACCUACCUAUAAGACUGGGAUAACUUCGGGAAACCGGAGCUAAUACCGGAUAAUAUUUUGAACCGCAUGGUUCAAAAGUGAAAGACGGUCUUGCUGUCACUUAUAGAUGGAUCCGCGCUGCAUUAGCUAGUUGGUAAGGUAACAGCUUACCAAGGCAACGAUGCAUAGCCGACCUGAGAGGGUGAUCGGCCACACUGGAACUGAGACACGGUCCAGACUCCUACGGGAGGCAGCAGUAGGGAAUCUUCCGCAAUGGGCGAAAGCCUGACGGAGCAACGCCGCGUGAGUGAUGAAGGUCUUCGGAUCGUAAAACUCUGUUAUUAGGGAAGAACAUAUGUGUAAGUAACUGUGCACAUCUUGACGGUACCUAAGCAGAAAGCCACGGCUAACUACGU